rnacentral:lncRNA from 1 species
UAUAUAUAUAUAUAUAGGCCGGAAUACUAUUAGUAGUAAAAUGCUCUUUUUGCUAUCAAGAUUUUAACCAUUGGAUGAAAAAUUAUAGAGUUAGGAUGAUAUUAGUCAGUUAGAGUUGAGUGGUCCCCCUAAGGUUGAGUGGUCCCCACUGGGUUUUAGUAUUUAAUCCAAUGGUUAGAAAUGAUGAAAAUAGUUGAUACAAAGGCUAAAAAACUGGUAGCAACAAUAGAAUUUUGCUACUAAUAGUAGCCCAGUCCAACUCUAUAUAUAUAUAUAUAUAUAUAAAA